AAAGAUUGAGAGUAUUGACUCUCUGAAAAAUCUGGAAGAAAUCAUUCGUGCAUCAGACGGGGCCAUGGUUGCUAGAGGAGAUCUGGGUGCUCAAAUUCCACUGGAACAGGUCCCUUCAGCCCAACAAAAGAUUGUGAAAACAUGCAGGCAGCUCAACAAGCCGGUUAUCGUGGCUUCUCAACUCCUUGAAUCUAUGAUUGAGUAUCCCACACCUACCCGUGCUGAAGUUGCUGACGUUUCAGAAGCAGUUCGUCAGCGGGCAGAUGCCCUAAUGCUUUCAGGCGAGUCAGCCAUGGGCCAGUUUCCAGAUAAAGCACUGAGUGUCCUGCGAACCGUGAGCCUCAGGAUUGAAAAGUGGUGGAGGGAGGAGAAGCGCCAUGAAGGCAUGGAGCUCCCAGAUAUUGCAUCUUCUUUCUCAGACAAAAUCUCAGAGGAGAUAUGCAAUUCAGCCGCGAAAAUGGCUAAUAAUUUGGGAGUGGAUGCUGUGUUUGUCUACACGAAGAGUGGUCACAUGGCCUCGAUCCUUUCGCGUUGCCGCCCUGACUGCCCGAUCUUUGCAUUCACUACCUCGACGUCUGUGAGGCGACGGCUGAAUCUCCAGUGGGG
rnacentral:misc_RNA from 1 species